GACAGAGGGUGCAACCGUUGUUCGGAAUUACUGGGCGUAAAGCGAGUGUAGGCGGUUUGGUAAGUCGGAUGUGAAAGCCCUGGGCUCAACCCAGGAAGUGCAUUCGAUACUGUCAAGCUAGAGUAUCGGAGAGGUUGGUGGAAUUCUCGGUGUAGAGGUGAAAUUCGUAGAUAUCGAGAGGAACACCGGUGGCGAAGGCGGCCAACUGGACGAAUACUGACGCUGAGACUCGAAAGCGUGGGGAGCAAACAGG
rnacentral:rRNA from 1 species